rnacentral:rRNA from 1 species
AUUGAACGCUGGCGGCAUGCCUUACACAUGCAAGUCGAACGGCAGCACGGGUGCUUGCACCUGGGGGCGAGUGGCGAACGGGUGAGUAAUACAUCGGAACAUGUCCUGUAGCGGGGGAUAGCCCGGCGAAAGCCGGAUUAAUACCGCAUAAGAUCUACGGAUGACAGCGGGGGACCUUCGGGGCUCGCGCUGUAGGGGUUGGCGAUGGCUGAUUAGCUCGUUGGUGGGGUAAAGGCCUACCAAGGCGACGCUCCGUAUCUGGUCUGGGAGGACGACCAGCCACACUAGGACUGAGACACGGCCCAGACUCCUACGGGAGGCAGCAGUGGGGAAUUUUGGACAAUGGGCGAAAGCCUGAUCCAGCAAUGCCGCGUGUGUGAAGAAGGCCUUCGGGUUGUAAAGCACUUUUGUCCGGAAAGAAAUCCUUGGCCCUAAUACGGUCGGGGGAUGACGGUACCGGAAGAAUAAGCACCGGCUAACUACGUG